rnacentral:rRNA from 1 species
AACGUAGGAGGCAAGCGUUAUCCGGAGUUACUGGGCGUAAAGCGCGUGUAGGCGGAUUGGUAAGUUACUUAUGAAAGCUCCUGGCUAAACUAGGAGAGGGUGGGUGAUACUGCCAGUCUUGAGUCGAGGAGAGGUUGGCGGAAUUCCGCGUGUAGUGGUGAAAUGCGUAGAGAUGCGGAAGAACACCAGUGGCGAAGGCGGCUCACUGGCCCGAAACUGACGCUGAGGCGCGAAAGCGUGGGGAGCAAACAGG